AGUGAACGCUGGCGGUAGGCCUAACACAUGCAAGUCGAACGGCAGCACAGUAAGAUCUUGCUCUUACGGGUGGCGAGUGGCGGACGGGUGAGGAAUACAUCGGAAUCUACUUUUUCGUGGGUGAUAACGUAGGGAAACUUACGCUAAUACCGCAUACGACCUACGGGUGAAAGCAGUGGAUCUUCGGACCUUGCGCGAUUGAAUUAGCCGAUGUCGGAUUAGCUAGUUGGCGGGGUAAAGGCCCACCAAGGCGACGAUCCGUAGCUGGUCUGAGAGGAUGAUCAGCCACACUGGAACUGAGACACGGUCCAGACUCCUACGGGAGGCAGCAGUGGGGAAUAUUGGACAAUGGGCGCAAGCCUGAUCCAGCCAUACCGCGUGGGUGAAGAAGGCCUUCGGGUUGUAAAGCCCUUUUGUUGGGAAAGAAAAGCAGCAGGUUAAUACCCCGCUGUUCUGACGGUACCCAAAGAAUAAGCACCGGCUAACUUCGUG
rnacentral:rRNA from 1 species